GGCUGUAACAGCCCUCGAACCCGUCUACAAAGCACGUUCUUUUUAUCUCGCCCUAGGAUCCGACCAUUUCAGGCUGAACAAAACUUGAUUUUUCUUUCCAUUUCAGGCCUACAGGGCCAACCGCUUGUUUUUCUUUCGUAGAAAAGAAAACCUAUAUCGUGAACUUCCCUAACUUACAGCAAUUAAUAAUCAAGACAAAGUUCUACCCAAAAGCGUAGUCCAGGUGAAAGAGAAUAGAAAAGUCUUUGUCCUCCCUGCAUCAAAAAAAGAUUCUUUUUAAAAACUAUAAUAAAGGCUUUUUUCAAUAGAGGGUUGGUAGAGAUAAAAAUUUAGAACGUUGCCAUGAAUGCAAACCCGGGACUUUUGAACAGUUGGCAACAAAGUUGGCGUUAUAAGGCAGGCAACGGGAAAAUAGACUUAGCAACAGAACUCACGCUUGUUGGAAUUGGACAAAAAGGGCAGCCAUGGUGGCGCCUUAAUUCCUUGCUCAUAAACAAGCUUGUCAAGAUAAUGUCGGUAGAAGGUUCUCCUCUCGAAAUUAUUAAUCAGAACAACGACAAAACAGACUAGAAACUUGAUGAUGAUGACUGCGGAAAUGUACUAACGGAAAAAUAGUUGUUUGAGGGACAAAGAAAACAUAAAAGCACGGCCCAUGGCUGUCAUUGACAUUCAACAAGUUCUGCCAUGAACGCGCUUUUACUACCUGAAUGCUGCUGGAAAAACACGAGGGAAUAGUAAAUUUGACAUUCGAUGUAGGCCAAUUUUACCUGAAAUCUGGAAAUGACGAGAUUCUGAGUGGUAGGUCUUGACAAUCAAGGGCGACGAGAUGAUCACAACACAGGCAUCGUAUGGGUUUUUUGACAACCCAAGACAUUUCUAGAAUGAUAAUAAUGAACUGCAUAAACUUUCUUUAAUCUCGAUAUGUUUUCCUUUUAAUUUAUACUACUUUUUAGAAUUUUUUACGACCUCAGAUUCGUACCAGAAGCAUUCCAACAAGAAGUAUCGAUGACGGAAUUAAUGUUGUCUCGCUGACUUGUCGUUCAAUUUCCAGUUGUCUACGUGCCAAAUCACUAUGGCUAUUCCUAAGCAAAACAAAAUAAUAAUUGCCACGUGUGGUUUAAAACUACCGCAAACUCAGUCGAUGAUGACCUUCUAGUUUUCGCCCUGUCUCGUUUUAGCUGUAACCAAGUAUCUAUAUGCUUGUUUCGAAACUUGGAAACUCAUAUUGACAAAUGAAUCACCCAUUGCACUAAAAACAAGACCAGCUGAAUAAAGACAUUUACACGUGAAAAAAGCAGCUUGAACCAGUUUCACCUAUUUCUGGCUUACACACAUUCUAGUAGCGAAAUUUUGCAGAAAAAGAAAGACAUUUUGAGAAAUCCUUUCACUGAAUCUUGUCGACAUCGACUGUUUCUGACUUAAGGCGUUUUUCCAAUUUUAUAUUUUACUUGAAUUUCUUUACAAGGCUUAAAAUUUCGUGUAGUACUUAUAAUUACCAGAUGAAAUCUUAGGAUGCCAAAUAGUUUAGAUUAUUAUUAGUUUUAAAGAUACAUUUCAUGGCAUCGCUCCAAGGAAUUUGUAAUCCGCCAUCGCCGCCAUUGCCAUCCCGGAAAAAACUGGUGCCAUCUAGUCGCAGUAACGGUCAAAAUCCCUUUUUUUUUUUUUACAUGAAUUUGCAACAAGUUGGUAUGCAUUAUGGAUGGUAGAUCGGCGAAUAGCACAAAUUCCAAUGAAAAAAAUAUUGAUUUUCAUCCGUCAAAUGUACAUGAAGUACGUGUCAAAGUUAAAUUCUUUUGAGCUCGUGAGCGUGAAUUAAAUCUGGUACUGGUUCAAAAAAGAAAGAGUGUGACUGACCUAGAUAACUCGUAUGGCAUGAGAACGUUUUUUGAAUCAAGCUACUGUUUACAUGGGUACUUAGAAAAAUCGACAACAACUCAAUUGACAGUAUAUUUAAGAUAACAAAUUGUUGUAAACAAUUGAAUAUAAGCUGCAUGGCUUUAACACGCAAAACUGAUUCUUUAGCUGUAUGUCUUCUCUCACCUUUACUGACAAGAAAUUUAACAUUUACUCCUCGUAACUAGCUUAGUCGCUCUUGAUAAAGUUAUCUUCGGCAGGCAUAUGGAAUAUGUUUUAUGGAAAGGAAUUG